GGGGGGCUGGCGCAACGGUAGCGCGUCAGAUUCCAGUCCUGAAGGUUAUCCGUUCGAAUCGGGUGCUCCUCA
rnacentral:tRNA from 1 species